rnacentral:sRNA from 1 species
GAGUAAUGGAUGUUUCUGAAAGCAUUUUUGUGGUGGAUCCCCCUAAGCGGAGGGGCGAUUCAGCAGGACAUUUCUCCAGAGUGUCCAACCAGCGCGCGGAAAUGAAUGCUGUGAUCAUUUCCACCGGGAGGCACCCGGCACCACUCCCUCAGUUAUUGCCAACUUAGCUAUUUAUGCCUGCUUUUCCGAGCAGGCUUUUUUUUCAU